AUCUUUGGAGAUUUUAUAGUCUGGUUUGGGUGUGCAUCCCUCUGUGGACCAUGUUUCUUUCCAUUUUGGUGCUUGCACUGCAAUCUGUUUAUUGGAUAUCAUCAGGCAUUAUGAACAGGGCACUUUGCAAUCUCAUCUUGUUUGGCAUCUCUAGUGAUCUGUCCUGUGUGGUAUUUUUCCACUUACCUGUUACAUUCUUCUUGUGCAUGUAAUGGUUGGGUCUUCCACAGCAUGAACUUCAACUCAGAUUUCUUCCUAAUCAAAAGGUCCCUUUUCUCUUGUUGUGUGGAAGUUCUCAAGAAUGAUAAUAUUUUCACUCUGCUGCCAUGAAGUUUUUAGUCUAGAUGUUUUUUCUUGGAUUUAUCCAAAUGAUGAUGAUAUCUCUGAUUGUUAUGGACACCUGAGAAGUACCCAAGCUCAAUUUUAUAUCUUCUUAUGGCCCGAGGAGCUCCUCCUACUUCGUUGUUCGUGCUACUUAUCUUCUCCUGGUUCUAUUUUCUUAUGUUCAUCCUGCCACUUGAUUUUGUUUGUUUGGAUGCAUGCUUGUAGACCACAUGGUGACCAUGAGGGGAUCAAAUUUGGUAAUUUCGAAGUUUGGUCUCACUGUGUGUCCUUCCCUUGUGCACCCUGUUUCUGUGCCAUUUUGGUGCGUGCGCUUGCACUGAAAUUUGGAUAUCACCAGGCACUGGCAAGGGAGUUACACAAUCUUGUCUGGCACCUCUAGUGAUCUCUCCUAUGUUGCAUGGGUUUCGCAGCUUCAACCUAAUUGCUCCCUUCUUUUGGUGCUUGCUGUCGUUGGGUCUUUCAAGACCAGUGAAGUCUUCCGCUCAUGGAGCAGCCUUGUUUGUCUUAGCGUUGGAAGUUUUCCUUAGUUCAGGCUUUGUAUUAGUACCUAGCUCUUCGAUUAAGUUUUCUUCCCUAGUCAUAGAGAUCCCCCUAUCUCGUUGGCGGAAGUGCUGUUAUGCGGAAGUUCUCAAUUAUGAUGACUUUCUCCACAAGUGCAUUUUCAGCUUUUAGUCCAGAUGCUUAUGUUUUGUGAUGAUCCAACUGAUGAGUUAUCUUAUGGUGUGGAUUUCUGGUUUCUGCUCCUUGGUUGUGGCUAUUGGAAGUUUGGACGGAGGGGUCAAGGAUGUUUUUUUUUUAAGUUUUUGCCAUAAUGCAACUAGUCUUGUGUUACCAGUGACGGUUGAUGAUUUUUGGUUAUUUACUGAAUUGGAUAGGUCUGGAUUCAUUGGUGCUGUGUUGUAUCCAUAAGUUUUCUAAUUUUGCCAUAUAGGUAUGAAAUAUGAGCAGAUCUCUCAGUUGCAGAAAAGAAAGUCUGGCAGAAUACUUGGCCUCCUGUGCAGGAAGUGAGACCUGAAGGGUGAUCUUCUGGUGAAUGAUAUCGUUUUCUGGGUUUGCAGAUUUAUUUUGAAGUUUGACUUGGCUAUAAAUUCUCACUUUUGUUGGUUUCUUGAGGCAUCCAAGGACUUUCUGAUUAGGUUAUGCCAAUUCCUUUCUGGUUCUACCCGAAACAAUGACGAUCAACAUGGUGAUCGUGAGGGGAUCAGAUUGGGUAAUUUCGAAGUUUGGUUUCAGUGUGUCCUUUGGUUGUGCACCCUGUUCCUUCGCCAUUUUGGUACUUGUGCUUGCACUGCAAUUUGGAUAUCACCAGGCACUGGCAAGGGAGUUAUGCAAUCUUGUCUUGCAUCUCUCUACUGAUCUCUCCUCUGUUUAUUUUUGGAGAUCUCUCCCCUAUUGUUAAUAUUGUUUUUGGAACAUGUGUAUUAUGUUCAAAUAUUCAUUCAUUUACGGAGUUGCUUCAGACUAUUAGCCAUUGUGUAAACCGCACACUGUUUUUGCCAUAAAACAUUGCCAUUUGAACAGUCAAAUAUUGAAUCUAGAACAGACAAAGUAAAAAACAUGGUUCAUCUUUUGUGUAACAAGUCAUGUACACUCUUUAUGUUAUUUAUAUCAAUGCAACUAGUUUUGUGUUACCAGAGACGGCUGAUGAUUUUUGGAUAUUUACAGAAUUUGGUAGGUAUGGUUUUCUUGGUGCAGUUGUAUCCGUAAGUUUUCUGAUUUUGCUAUGUAGGUAUGGAGUAUGAGAGAUCUGUGAGUUGCAGAAAAGAGUGUCUGCAGAAUG